AAGUCGUAACAAGGUUUCCGUAGGUGAACCUGCGGAAGGAUCAUUACCGAGUUUUCGAGCUCCGGCUCGACUCUCCCACCCUUUGUGAACGUACCUCUGUUGCUUUGGCGGCUCCGGCCGCCAAAGGACCUUCAAACUCCAGUCAGUAAACGCAGACGUCUGAUAAACAAGUUAAUAAACUAAAACUUUCAACAACGGAUCUCUUGGUUCUGGCAUCGAUGAAGAACGCAGCGAAAUGCGAUAAGUAAUGUGAAUUGCAGAAUUCAGUGAAUCAUCGAAUCUUUGAACGCACAUUGCGCCCCUUGGUAUUCCGGGGGGCAUGCCUGUUCGAGCGUCAUUACAACCCUCAAGCUCUGCUUGGAAUUGGGCACAGUCCUCACUGCGGACGCGCCUCAAAGACCUCGGCGGUGGCUGUUCAGCCCUCAAGCGUAGUAGAAUACACCUCGCUUUGGAGCGGUUGGCGUCGCCCGCCGGACGAACCUUCUGAACUUUUCUCAAGGUUGACCUCGGAUCAGGUAGGGAUACCCGCUGAACUUAA
rnacentral:rRNA from 1 species